rfam:Gossypium hirsutum cultivar TM-1 chromosome 14, whole genome shotgun sequence
CCUGAGGGAGCGUUUUGCCUACAUGGACAUAAAAUGCAUCCUUAAUGGAGCACUUUAUGUCCAUGUAGGCAAAACGCUCUCUCAGGG